UAAUCCAUAAUAACAAUGUUUGAAAAAGCAAUUAUUCUUGACUUUUGAUUUCAAAACUAGCUAUUCAUCAAUUUGUUGCUAGCCAUGUAUAUAAUUUAUGGAGGUGGUUAAACAUUGAUAUGGUUUCACAAAAUUCACUAAUGGCCAUGAAAGGGAAACCAGAACUACAACGUGGCCCGCGACAAAUUUGAGUUUGACACCCCUGCUUUAAACAUAGUAAUAUAUUAUUUUGUUUCCCCAAUAUUAAAUGAAACAGAUGAAUCGUCCACAAAAAUCCUCCUAUAACUUUAUUUUCGUAGUAUUUUAAUCAUUUAAAUGCAUUUAUUUUGUCUCAGAAUGAUACAGAAUGAUUUGGUUUGAUUUUCCGCCUAUGACCGCCUUUCCAAAUCUGGCAGGUCGUUGUUCCCACUUGGCACCAAUGCAAAGUAAAUUGUAAAUUGUAGUGCAUUGAUACGAUCGCAAUACUUGACUGUCAUGAUAUUAGACUUUUAAAUUGGAUUCUUAUUAUUGUAGUAGGCCAGAGUGACGUUUUUGUCCAUCACUGUACCGAAAAGGAUUAGCGAGGUCACAUGACCACCUGUGUUUUCCCUCAAUGAAACGGCACGGUGGCUUAUCUUCUCCGCUCGCUCUAAUCUUUUCUAAUUCAAAUCUUUAAUAACCUUUAUUUGGCAGUCACGUGGACAAAGGACACAUUCUUUUUUUUCUUCUUCUUCUUCUUCUAUGCAGUUUUAAUUGAAGAGCAGCUCACCGCGCAUUCGCCACCUUCGUUUGUCUGACUUCCACUGCCCGGGCAAGCCGUAAUGAAGACAAAGAGGCGCAUGAGUUCGGCAUACAAACGUUUACCCUCUGGAUCUUAUCUCUUCAAUUCCAAGACAUUAACGGCGGCCUCAAUCGAUGGAAACGGUUGGUAUCCUUUUACCUGGUGACGAGGGCGGCCGACAAUGGACGGGAAGACGGCACGAGGCGCGUCGUCUCCGGCGAAGCCGGCCUUCACCAGACCGGAGCCGUUGUCGCACACGAGGGCGGUGGUCUCGUCGUCGUCGCACAUGGU